CCAGGGUAGUAUAUAGUUAUUAUCUCGAAACCCAAAGAGUUUGGCGGUACUUUAGUCUAGUUAGAGGAGCUUGUUCGGUAAUUGAUAAUCCUCAAAAAAUCUUACGCAUUCUUGUAAACAGUUUAUAUACCGUCGUUAUUAGAUAAUGUUAAAAGGCAUUUAAUUAUCUAAAUAUAUUUGAUUUAUAAUAUAUCAGAUCAAGGUGUAGCUGAUGAAUGUGAGUUGAAUGAGCUACAUUUUAUUUUAUGAAUAACGGAAAUUGGUUUUAAAUAGUCAAUAAAAGGUGGAUUUAAUUGUAAUCG
rnacentral:rRNA from 1 species